UGCUUCAAGCACACUUGUAUCUAAAUAUUUGAAAAUUACCUGAAAUGACAUAAAAACAGCAGCUUUUAAAGAAGUGAAACCAAUGGCAAUGUCGUUUUCUUCUAAUAUCGAAUGUCACAGCAGUUCGCCAAUGCAUAAUAAAAGCAGUUUUAUCAGCGUUUUCCCUUAAAUUUGGGAAUAAAAAAAAUAUUUUUAGUUCGUUAAAUUUUCGUUGGAGUUGCAGGGGGACAAAUUUUUGAAAUUCGUUUUAGCGCUAUUCUUCUGGCAUCCCGCCUUUUUUAAUAAGUGCUGAUUGAUGGGACCCUGAUUGUGUUUUGUUGCCAGCUCAGAAAAAAUAUCAGAGUUCGCUGCCAGCUGACAAGUGAGCCAUAAAAAUAGUCUAUGCUGUGAGAAUAUAUUUUAUAAUUUGGGGAACCCCUUUGCAAAGUCAAGACAUCAGUUUAGUUCGAGCUGCCGUGGAAAUUUCUACAAAUUUAACAUUUUAAUAUGUCGUCCAAAAAUGUUGUUGACACACAGCAAGAAUUUGCUAACAAAAAUGUGCGUCUAUCGAAUUUGCCUGUGACAAGGAUCCUUAUUAUAGUGGUUGAAAAAGAUGUCACAGAUAUUUUGAAUUGCAA
rnacentral:lncRNA from 1 species